ACAACAAGCUUUUCUCUCUCAAUCACUCAAAGACUUAUAUCCGAUUCUACUAGGGAGAGUCUGAAGCUCAUUCAUAAUCAGAAAUUCUCUUUCACAAAAAUAUGGCUUUUAGCUACUCAUUUGAGAUCCGGCAGUUGAAUUUCAUGGCUGCACUACAGAUCCUACGCAAUGCAAUUGGAAAAACUCCUAAAGAUAAGGUAAUUUACUGGUUGAGUUUAAGUAUGUACUAUAUCAUAUUUUUCUGGAAUGGAAGAUUGCACCACCAAAAUUAGUUUUGAGGGAGUUCUAGAGUGUCUAGAUUAGAUUAUGAGAAUGUAUUAUCAUAGUGAUGAAAUAACAAUUCCUUCAAACCUUUGGGGCACAAGCAACAAAAACUAUUGGAGGCAUGUUGUGUCAGAAAUUUUGGAAAAUUGUCCUUUUCCCUUUUUAUCAACGUAAAUCUAAAAUUUACUCUGUAUUGGUUGUCAAUUAUGAUCUGCAUCAUGGUUGUUGUUGUUUACUCUGUAUGGGUGUAUUAAUCUAGUUAAUAUGUAUACUUUGCAUUUUAUGGCCAGCCAAAGGUUAUUCCAUCUACAAAAAAGACCCCCCUUUGAAUGUCACACCUUCUCUACUAGAGAAUGAGUACAAGAAGUUUAAUACAAUGUUUGAAUUUUCUGCCUCUUGAUGUCAAUUGUAUUACGAAUCACGCUUCAGAAUUUUCUGCGUCUUGGUUCAAGCUUGCCAAACAGUGUAAGAUAAGUUUUGGUGGUGUUCCACUUGAAUGGAAUACAUAAUAGUCCUAAUAUCAGUUAUGUUUUCAGUUGUGGUAUUAGGCAAGAUAGUGGUGUCCUUCGCCAUUACCGAGGCAGCUUAUACGCCUAUGUUGCACUCUCGCAUUUUUACCGAGACUGAAAGGUACCGUGACCAGGAAUUUACCACUUGCAAGGAGGAUCGGCCAUUGUUUGUCCAAUUUUGUGCAAAUGAUCCAGACAUUUUGUUAGAGGCUGCAAAGAGAGUGGAACCUUUUUGUGACUAUGUUGACAUCAAUUUGGGGCUCUCGCUUGAUGAAUGGUUCAUGAACUUACUCUUCUGUCUCUCAAGAUUCUGCUUUUUCGGGUGGUUGUUCCUAGGCCGGGUUUAAGCCCCGAUAGCGAGUUUGAUUAAACUAGUGGCCCUGUAAAGUUUGUUCUUACAUAUGAAAUAAUGGCUCAAGUUAUAUUUAAUGGAUCAUUUGAUCACAUGAAUAUUGAUGCUACCAGGUAUCA